rnacentral:lncRNA from 12 species
CCUGGCAUCCCGGCCGCUGGGCGCGGCGGCGCGCAUGCGCAGCCCCUCGGGCCGGCCCCGGCGCACCUUUUCUCCCCGCUGCCACAAUGUGAGCGCCCCGCCGCCCAGAUAACCGCCGACUCCCGCUCCACCCCCGCCCUCCCCCACUCCGCCCACUGCCGAGCGCCCAGGACCCUAGGACUUGCCCUUGUGUAUCUGAAGCUUUGGUGACCAGUACUUUGGAAGGCCUUGGGCCACAGGGCUGGUCUCGAUUUCUUCAGCUGGAAAAUGGAUCUAGAGACAAGCAGCACAGGAACAGGAGCUGCAGUGGCUUCAAACCUCAUAGUAUCCCCCCACCACCACCCCAUCCAUGGCCCUGCUCUUCACUCUCAAGUGAAUUCCCAGGUGUUGGUUGCUGGAGAUCUUGGGGGAGCCUUUCCCACAUUCUUUGGUUUCAUGGUUUCUCUGUAAUAGGCACGCCAAUGUCGGGUAUCGUCUUGAGCAAAGGUUUCCCCACAGUCACUGCAUUCAUGUAACUGAGUUCCGGAAUACUGAGUCAGAUGCACCUACCGAGCCUCCAAACUCACCUGAGGGCUCUCCCAUGGACACAUCAGAUACAAAAUUUCUUUCCAGCAGGAAUUCUCUGAUGUUGUAUAUGAUGGUUACUCCACCCAAAUAAAGGCUUAUUCACAUUUAUUACA